GGCCCCGGGCUCUGGGGCAGCUGCUACUCAGCGCCAGCUGUUCGUCGCCAUGGGGGGAAGCGGGACCAGAGCCGCCGGGUCUUCGGCUUUUUCAAGAGGAUGCAUAGAUCCGGGUUGUUAUUUGAACUGUCCUGACUUUGGUAAGACUCUGCAGGCCAAACAAAACAUAUCUGGGGGCUGGAUGGGGUCCUAGGGACUGCCCGUUUGCGACCCCUGGUUAACAGCUGCCUCCCCAGCUAGACCGUGAGUUCUGUGAGGGCAGGGCCCAUGUCUGCUUUAGUCACCAUUUGCCCCCAGCCCCUGGCCCAGAGCAAGUGCUCAGUAAGUGAGCCGUGGAUUAUGGCUGUCCCUGGCCUUGGGCGCUGGGGAGGAGCCGGCUAACUCAGGUAGUGCUCCCCACUCUUCUGAGCAGGGAUCCCUGGUGCAUGCACCCACCACCCGGCCUCCCUCCUCACCAGGCUGCUAGCUCAGGGGCACAUGGCCAGCUCCCCCAGGGCUUGGGACUGAGCUCUGGCGGUGCUGGGGAGCUGGGGUGGGCCCCCACCUGUGACGGUGACGGUGAAGGAGGCCGACUCGUCAUCGAUCUCACACAGGUACUCGCCGGAGUCCUCUAGCUGGACGGCGGGCAGCACCAGGCGGCGGAUGGUAUCCUCCUUCUGCAGGAACAGUGUUGGGCUCUCCGCCACCUCUUCGCCAUCCUUGGUCCAGCGCACCUCGGCCCAGGGCCGGCAGAGCUCACAGGCCUGUCCCCUUCUCCUGGAAAGUGGGCCACGUGCUGGAGAAGAGGGCCCUCCCCCACUGCAGCUCAGAGAGUCUCUCACCGCUACAGUCACCCCAUCCCCAGCAUCCCAGGCUGCUGUGGCCAGAGGGACACAACCGUAGUCACCAAGGCCCACCAGGCACGUGGCAGCAUGGUGGGGACUGUGGUCACAGCCUUAGUGGGAAACGCGCCACAUUCUCUGGGUUGGGGCAGGGCUGGUAGGAAGGGUGGAAUGGGGAGAGGGCUGGGUCCCCAGAGGGAGCCAGGGUCCCCACAGGGCAUAUGAGAUCUUCUGACCCUGUGAGUGCCUGGGGUCAGACGGCAUCCCCAAGACUACCCCUUGGGAGGGGCCUUCAGGAGAACAGAGAAGGGCUUCCCCUGUGACAUAGCCGGGACCAGUGGGUUUUAUGACAGUGCAUCUCCUGAGGGUGACUGAGCUCCCGGGUGCAGGCUGUGGGUCAGGGCAGAGGGAGGGCUCUGGUCAGCAAGCAGGAGGGGCAGGGGCUGGGAGAAGCAUCUCAGGGGUGAGAGUACGGCAGCAGCUCGGACAGGGGCACCUUCCCUGGUCUAGCUGCUGUGGGCCUGCCUGGACCCCACCUGUGAUGGUGACGGUGAAGCAGGCACGCUCCUCCCCGGCGACACACUGGAACUCGCCCCCAUCUGAGGGCUGGGUGGCGGGCAGCACCAGGCGGCGAUGGGGCCCGUCACUCUCCAGCAGCACGGAGUCGCCCUCCUCCACCUCCUGGCCAUCCUUGAACCAGUGCACAAGGGUGUCCUCUUGGUCCAGCUCACAGGACAGCAUGACGCACUCGGAGGUUAUGGCAUGAACAAACACAUGCUCCUGGGGGUCCAGGAUGUGCACUGGGGGAUCUGGGACGGGACAGAAGUGGGAUCACACAGAUAGCUUACAUGGAAGACAUGAGUCCAAGCUGGCUGCUUGCCCAGUUAGACACUGUCUCCUCCCAUGAGGACACUGCGGGUGUGGGUGUGUUAAGGCCAUGCUGUGGGGGACUUAGGGGCAAUGGCCUCUCCCUCUGCAGCCCCCAUGGGGUCCUGAGGCAGGACAGGAGGUCAUGCGGCAGGUGGGUGCUCAGUGGGACCCCAGAGGAUCAGAGGCGGCUGAGUGGGAACAGAGAAGGAGGGGAGAGAGUGCACAGCAGCAGGCACCUUUUGUCUAGGCUGAACUGUCACUCUCACCAGCCAUAUCAGGGCCAGGCUUGCUGCUGCUUUUAUAGCCAGACCCACAUGCCGGUGCGAGGACGGGCAGGAGGUGGAAGACAAUGACUUAGUACAACACGGGACAGUUGACUCCUACAGGUAGUAAGUUCCUUGUCACUAGGUACAUUCAGGCAGGGGCUAGACUUCCUGGCGAUGGUAUUCAAACAGGAUUUCCACUCAAAGUGAGAAGAUGAGUUGGACUGGCGGAUCCCUAAGCUGCCCACCCAGAGAGUCAUCAUUUGUUAAGAGUGGCCCCACAGGCUCCAUCCUGGGUAUUCUGGAUCUGUAGGGCUGUGGUGGGGGUUGGCCUGGGCAUAUGCAUUUAUAACAAGCUUCCAUAAUGCUUCUGAAGCGGCCAGACAAGGGACUACGGCAUUUGAUACUUCUGUUCAACUCUGCUUUGGGUGAAAACCCACAUGAGGCAGUGAGAUAAGCAGCCCUGGGUAUGAAUCCAGCCAUGGUGUUUACUGGGUGUGGGCAAAUGGGGAAGCCACAUGGCCUCCUGGAGCCUCAGCCUCUUCACAUGAGAACUGCAGAUACUGCCCCUCAUCUAGUUGUGAGGAUCAAACAAAAUAGUGUAUAUUCACAGAGCCCAGCAGGCUGAGAGUGAGUGCUCAAAAAAUGUUAGCUCCCCUCUCCCCUUCCCUGCCCCACCCUGGCAGAGGGGAUGUAUGGGGCAAGUGAGCUAGAGGGCAUUGGUGCAUGGGAGGGUUAAGAAGCAAGUGCAGAGAGAUCCAAAAGCGUGUCCCUGGCCCACUUCUCUGUAAGGGACACCCCGACCCCCACCCAGGAGGUGGACCAGGCACAGGUCUGCAUGGCCAGCUUGCAGGGCCCGUCAUCCUCAGCUGGAGGAGCUCAAGCCGACACGGCUCCUGACCUCGGACGGUGAUGCUGAAGAAGGCCGAGGCCCCUUCAGUUCUGCACUCGAACUCGCCGCUGUCCCGGGCUUCAGCCGCAGGCAGGAUUAGGCGGUGUUUGCGCCCAUCCGCCUUCACCAGCAGCGACUCGCUCUCCGCCACCUUCUGCCCAUCCUUGUACCAGCUUGCCGGGAAGUCCACCCGCGAGAGCUCACAGGACCUGCAUCUCCGGCCUGUCUGCCCACCCCGGCCCCCACCUGCACCGACCUUGGAUGGUGAGGGCGGCCGAGUCCUGCACGCCAGGGCAGCUGAAGCCGACCAGGGCCCCACUGUCCCGGUGCUUGACGGCUUGGAGGAUGAGUCUGUGCUGCAGGCCCUUCUGCUCGAUCCGGUAGCAUAGGGCCCCGGGUUCCAUCUGGCUCUUCAGCUCAUCACUCUUGAGUUCUUCACCAUUGAGGAACCAGGUGCCCUGGAUGAUGGUGGAGAGGUCCAGGGAGAAGAUGGCAUCUUCCCCAUCGUACACCUGCACGUCCUCCAGACCCGCCACCAGGCGAGCUGUGGGCACUGGGUGGGGGCAGAGAGCAGCUGUGAGCACCAGAAGAGGAGGCAGAGGGCAGGGACUGAGGCCAGGGAGGGGAGAGGAGGUGGACGAGGGGGUACCAAUGGGCAGGGUCUGGCGGGACUGCCUCACCGAGGUGAGCAGAGCCGUGGAAGACCACAUGGGGACUCCGGCCAUGCUCGCUGACUGUGCAGACGCGGAAGCGGUAGUCGCCCUCACAGGGCACACAGUCUCCUGGCACCUCCACGGCCCCCGCUUUCUCAAUGCUGAAGCACUGGAUCCAAUCUUCCGAGCCCACCUCCUGCCGCUCCAGCCGGUAGAUGAAGGGGGUCUCGGGAGCUGGCUCCGGAGGCUUCCAGGUGAGCAGGACUGUGUUCUUGUGACCCUUGAACAUCUCCACCAACACAGGGGGUCCUGGGGGAUUGUGUUUGAUGCCUGGGACAAAGGUAAGGUUGGCAUUUUGAGCUCUGCUUGGGCUUCCCACAACCUUCCUCCUUCAUCCACUCUCCUGACCCAAGCUCAGACAUCUGGUCACCUUCCCUCCCAGGCCUCCUGCCCAGCCCUUGAGGGGCCUUCCCGGAGGCCUUCACGUCCUCACAUUUGACUCGGAGCAGAGUGGUGGUACGGGAGUUGCCCAGGCUAAAGGUGACCUCGCCAGCGUCUUCUCGGGUGACCCCGGGAAGGACCAGGGCAUGCAUGUGGCCGGAGCUGCUCUGGCAGGACGUCGAGCUUCCGGGGCAGCCGCUUCAGGAUGGGCCCUGGGACGCGGACGGGAACCCAUCAGCCCCGGGUCUGGGCACCUGCUUGCCUCCACCUCCGCCUCCUCCUGCCGGCAGCCGACCUUUGACCGUCACGUUGGCCACGGUGCGCACCCGGCCUCGCAUCUCGCACAGGUAGACGCCGUCAUCGUCCGCCUUGAGCCGGUGGAUGAUGAGGCGGCGGACGGCACCCUCCUCGAUCUGCUCGUACUUGCGGCAGGGCAGCAGCCGCUGGUCCUCGCGGAACCAGGCCGUGGGGAUGCGGGAGUUGGGGACUUUACACUCCAGCACAGCAAUCCCACGCUCGCGGCCCUCCACGUCCUGCAGGGGCCUCGUGAAGCGGAGGCGGGGCUCUGCGGAGAGGGGCGGGACAAGAGAGGGUUCUGCAGAGGGAACGCAACUCGUGCAGUUUGCUCUUUUC